rnacentral:rRNA from 1 species
GUUGUCCUACGGGGCGCAGCAGUGAGGAAUAUUGGUCAAUGGCCGGAAGGCUGAACCAGCCAAGUCGCGUGAGGGAAUAAGGCCCUAUGGAUUGUAAACCUCUUUUGUCGGGGAACAAAGGCGCCCACGGGUGGGCGGAUGAGUGUACCCGAAGAAAAAGCAUCGGCUAACUCCGUGCCAGCAGCCGCGGUAAUACGGAGGAUGCGAGCGUUAUCCGGAUUUAUUGGGUUUAAAGGGUGCGUAGGCGGACAGUCAAGUCAGCGGUAAAAAUGCGGUGCUCAACGCCGUACAGCCGUUGAAACUGG